ACUGAAGCUAUUGAGAGAGAAGAAGAACAAGUUUGAAGAGGUUCCACUGUUUUGGCUUUGGUCCUUCCUCCCUGCUGGAGCCUUCAUCUCUGUCAUUCCCUACUCAGUCUUCUCUGCCAUUAGUCACAGAUUUUGCAGUUUAUUGCUUAGUUUUAAGGCUAUCUCUGCUAAGAAUACUGAAAAUAGGUUAAAACAAACAUGUCCUCACCGAAUGGGAUCCACAAAUUUUGGAAUAGUGCGUAAGUAGCUGCGUGACUCUAAGGAGAACAGUGAAGAACCAUCAAGGGCUGAAGUUUUCAUAGCAACUCGCACAAGUAAAAAAGGAAAAGAAAUUGAUGCUAAAACACAAGCCACAAUUACUGAACUUCAGAACCGCUUAGAAGCAGGAGAAAAUGAAGAUGAUGCAUUUGUAGGAGUGUUAGGAAAGGACCAACCAGGUCGACUUCGUUGUUAUGGGGCUUCGAUUACAAGAAGCUCUCUUAAAAAAGAUGAGGAGAUUCGCCACAUAAAAGUUGAAUAUAACACUAAGGUCUCAUCAUUAGAGAAGAAGAUGGAUGGUGUAUAUGGUUUAUUAAAGGUAUUGGUGCACCAACUCAACCCUGGAAUGAGCAAUGAAGAGGUAACAGCCUUAGUUCAAGCUGCCCAAGAUUCUCCUGUGGAUACCUCAAGUAGCAAAGCAAAAAAUACUCCUCGCUCCUCCGAAGCAACUCACAUUCCACACAAAGAUGAUGAUUCAAGAGCCUAUGAAUAUACUUCCAUGAAGAACCUGAAUGAGUCCGAGAAUGGAUUUUGGGGUGCUCUGGCCAGGAAAGCCAAA